AUGUAGGGGCAAUGUCUAAACCGGUUUAUUUUUGAAGGCGUUCACGUUAGCAGCAGUCUCCCGUCCUCGCUUCGCUCCGCUAUGUUCAGCUCCAGUACCUCACGGGGGGCUGCAGCCGCAGGUAUUCAACAAGGAGGAAGGACGGCGUUCACAAAACCCAAACGAGCGGAUUAAGAUAAAGGAACCAUGUUGAUUUACAAAAAACACUGACAGCCUGCAUGAGUUGCUCUAUCCAUUGUUUGGGCCAGUCUGACCUUAAGACCCCUCAAAUAUGUUAGAUAGAGACCACUGGAGAGAGGCGUGUGGUGACAGCAGUUGCUCUCGCACAGUGAUUAGCUGCUACCUUGAAGACUGCAAGCUUUGGAAUUACUGAGCUUUAAAAGUUUCUGAGCUUUGUGGCUCCAGAGGAAUUCACUGAGGCAAUGCCCAAACUCCACCAACACUCCCAAGCAACACCAGAACUCCUACAUCGCUCCCCAGCAAUGCCCAAUCUCAACAAACCCUCAAGUAAUGCCAGCACCCCUCCAGCACUUGCCAGCAAUACCAGAACUUCUUUAGGGCUUCCCAGUAAUGCCAGAACUCUACUAGCACACCCUAGCAAUGCCAGAACACCUCCAUCGCUCCCCAGCAAUACCAGAACUCCUUCAGCUCUUCCCAGCAAUACCAGAACUCCUUCAGCUCUUCCCAGCAAUACCAGAAAUCCUCCAUCAUUCCCCAGCAAUACCAGAACUCCUCCAUUGCUCCCCAGCAAUACCAGAACUUCACCAUCGCACCCAGCAAUACCAGAACUCCUUCAGAACUCCCCAGCAAUGCCAGUACUGCACCAGGGUUCCCUAGCUUAAUGUAUUUUUUAUUUAUUUAAAUAUUGUAAAGUUUUCCUUUAAAUAUUUCAGUUUUU